rnacentral:rRNA from 1 species
UACAGAGGCCUCGAGCGUUAAUCGGAGUCACUGGGCUUAAAGGGUGCGUAGGCGGACUCGUAAGUGCUUUGUGAAAUCCCACGGCUUAACCGUGGAACUGCUUGGUAGACUGCGAGUCUUGAGGUUGGUAGGGGUCGCUGGAACUCUAGGUGGAGCGGUGAAAUGCGUAGAUAUCUAGAGGAACGCCGAUGGUGAAGACAGGCGACUGGGCCAAUACUGACGCUGAGGCACGAAAGCGUGGGGAGCAAACGGG